AUGUCUAGUCAUCUUUGUGUAACUCAUAAUCUGCUUGAAAUUCAUCUGGCUAUGUUAAUUAAUCACAACAAAAUAAUUAAUGAGAACGUCUGUCACAAACGAGAACUUACUAGCUGCAAAAAGGUGAGACCGAAAUUUAAUGGCACUGCAAUUGGCUGCAUUUCACAAUCACCUUUUGCCCAUGCAGAUUUCAACUCUACUUUCAUGAUUUCUCCCGAACACCAUCACGUGCUUAAGAUUGUGAGCCUAUCACCGCGUCUACCACUUGACACAAAGGGUUCUGAACUGGCCAAUUCCAUCAAAUAUUUAUGUCAAAAUUUGUAA
rnacentral:rRNA from 1 species